CCUACGGGUGGCAGCAGUAGGGAAUAUUGCUCAAUGGGGGAAACCCUGAAGCAGCAACGCCGCGUGGAGGAUGAAGGUUUUAGGAUUGUAAACUCCUUUUGUGAGAGAAGAUAAUGACGGUAUCUCACGAAUAAGCACCGGCUAACUCCGUGCCAGCAGCCGCGGUAAUACGGAGGGUGCAAGCGUUACUCGGAAUCACUGGGCGUAAAGAGUGCGCAGGCGGGCUUGUAAGUCAGCGGUAAAAGCCCGGGGCUCAACCCCGGCGAGCCGUUGAAACUGGCGGGCUGGAGUUGGAGAGAAGUACGCGGAAUGCGCGGUGUAGCGGUGAAAUGCUUAGAUAUCGCGCAGAACCCCGAUUGCGAAGGCAGCGUACCGGCUCCACACUGACGCUGAGGCACGAAAGCGUGGGUAUCGAACAGGAUUAGAUACCCGUGUAGUC
rnacentral:rRNA from 1 species